UUAUUAUUAUUAUACGCAUGAGAAGCAACAACCGAAAUCCCAAAACACAAAAGCUUCUUGAUGAUCCAAACUAAUUAAAGGCCAUUGGAUAUAUAAGGACAAGGUGCAUCACGUAGCAAACUUGAUUUAGAGAAUCUUAUGGCAUCUGCAAAAUAAUAAGUGGAGGAAUACCGGUUCACCCGAGGAAUGGAAAAGCCCAAUCUCAGUUGUUGAAUGUGUUUCGUCUCAUCUCAGAUCAUGUACUAUUUUAAACUUUGACGGUUCGGCCAAUGAUCUUAGCUUUGCAACAUAUAUUUUGAAGAAUGCCAGUCUUUUACAAGACAUGAAAAUCGGCUGUACUACUGAAGGAAUGCUUUUGGAAAAACGUGAGAUUAUUAAAAAAUUGUCCUCUUGUCCAAGGAUAUCUCCAGAAUGCAAACUUUCAUUUGAAUUUAAGGAUUAUCAUUGUUUUUAAUUAGUUUCUUUUUUUUUUUUGGUAUAGGUUUUUAAUUAGUUUCUAUUAUAAUAUCCAACCAUUUAGUUUGAUAGUUUGGACAACAUAUAUUGGUUUGGUGACUUUGGUUUAGGUUUGAGCGUUUGACGAAUUCUAGGAUAGUUCUCUCUCUUUUUUUUUUCUUUAUCACCACCGGUAUCCGAUCGUAGUUGUGGGGAUCGAACCGUAGUUCUUCUUAUUAAGUUCAGCAUCAACCAUCGCUGGACCAACUAACGAUUGGCACAAAAUGUACAAGAAGUACAUAAUGGCCAGAGAAAUACAAGGAUAGAAAUCAAAGGCAAAACAAGGCCCCAUCUCCAAAAAUCAACAACAUAAAGCAGUAAACACAAAUCAGUAAAAUCAUGAACGACUGCCAAGAUAGCCGUUGAAUAUAUUCGACUGCCAUAUUGCAUUGAAAGGCCAAGGAAUUUAACAGCAGAGAUUGUGGAACUGAAGAAACAAAAUGGGAAUGAUUCUUCGCAAGGUUUUAAAUUGCGGUCCGCAUCCGCAAUUGCAGCCGCAAUAUUGUUAAUGCUGAUGUGGUAGCCACUACAACCGCAACACACCGGAAUUGCGGUGUGAUCUUAAUUAACGUGUACGGCUGCAUCGUAACCGCAUCACAAACGCAUCGGAAGCCGCAUCAGAUGUUUUCGGCGAUGUUCGUUCAAAUUUUCUCACAAAAAAAUAAAAUUUAUGAACUUCAAAUUCUAAUUUGUGUCAAAUUAAUGAAAAAUCUUGCUUUUAACAAUCUCUCAACCGGGUAUUUUAAAUACAUUCAAAUUAUUGUUUAUGGAAUAAACUAAGACUAUGCGGUGGUGGAUAAAUAGUGUAGUUACAUAGUAGUUUCAUUUUAUAUAGCUUGUGAAAUUUCAAAAUGAUUUCACGCCGCAACAACCGCAUUGUGCAUUGCAGCAACCGCAAUGACCGCAUUUGCAACAACUGCAACCACAACCGCAUCCGCGACAGCAACAAUAAAACCUUGGAAUUGCCUUUGUGAAUGUACUAUUUUGUCUUAGUGCCGCUUUAGUUUGGGUAUCCUAGACAAUUCUUCAAUGCAUCUAAACUAAGUAUUUUAAUAAGUAUCCUAGAGACCUAGACAUUUCUCCAAUGCAUCUUUUAGAUGUGUUUUUAGGAGCUUUUCAUGUUUCUUUAUUCAUGUGAAGUUUAUCUGUUUAAUAUUACAUCAUGAUAUUCUUCCAGGCUGGACCUUUGUGAUUUUUCUCUUUACUUACAUGUACCUUGGUAUUUUAAUGUAGGUUCUCAUAGCCAACAGAGAUUUAAAUGCAUCAAACUCAAAAUUGAAAAAUGUAGAAAACCAAAUCAGAUCAAACAAACUUUUGUUUCAAUUCAUGAUAUUCUUCCAAAUGUAGAACUGGUAAGCAUCUUCCAACUGUCUAGCUAGUCGUGCGUUAAGUCGGAUGAAUAGAUGCAAAAAGGGUAAGAAUUUUGUGAGCGUGCUGAAUGUAUUCUAAUAUUUGAGCGAAUUUUAGCAGAUUAUUUCUUAUUGGAUUGCCAUGCAGCUGGCAGAGUUUAGUUAGCCCAUCACAAUCAGAAAUCAGAUUCAGAUCAGUCUUAAAGGAUAUUUAUUUAAAGAUCAAGUUAGCCCUUAACUCAUGUUUGUUCUAAGUUGUCAUGUAAACGUAGUUUUGUUUGUUCUAAGUUGUUUCUGACUUUCUGGCAAUUAUAUAUUUAUGAAAGGUUGAUUUAAUUCUGGUCCUGGUGUUUAAAAGAAAAGCAUUUCAAGAGAGAUCUCUAUCAUUUGAUUCUGGUUUUUAAAUCAAUGAUGUAGCUACUUAUGAAAUAUUUUGGUAAUGUGUUUUGUAUUAAUGUUUAUCUUUUAUAUA